rnacentral:rRNA from 1 species
GACAGAGGGUGCAAACGUUGUUCGGAAUUACUGGGCGUAAAGCGCGUGUAGGCGGCUAUGUAAGUCGGGUGUGAAAUCCCACGGCUCAACCGUGGAAGUGCACCCGAAACUGCGUAGCUAGAGUCCUGGAGAGGAAGGUGGAAUGCUUGGUGUAGAGGUGAAAUUCGUAGAUAUCAAGCGGAACACCGGUGGCGAAGGCGGCCUUCUGGACAGUGACUGACGCUGAGACGCGAAAGCGUGGGGAGCAAACAGG